rnacentral:lncRNA from 1 species
CCUUAUAUUUCAACUAUAUUAAGUGUUAAAAGCCUACAAACUAUGGUUUCACCACAUAAUUUUCCUGCUAAUUGGCCUUUCUUAGCUUACCAAUCACCUUUAACUAUAUGAAAUAGGGUUUAUACAUUCAUUAUGUCAUAAAAAGUUUUGCCACAUCAAAAUAUAAUAGUAAAGUCACUGAGCUAGUAAGUUAUUGAUUUGACGACAAUAAUGUGAAAUUAGCUCUCACAAAAAUGUCAACGACAUUCUGUUCUUGUUUCAGUCAAACCAGAAUGGUGGUUUUUCCCAUGUUCAAUGUGUCGUUAUCUCUAUGUUGAUUUGACACUAAAAUGUUUAUGUCUCAACCAUUCACCAAAGUCUGUCUAUUUUAUUAUUACCUUCUAGAGUCAACAUUUCAUCCACAAUAUAUUUUGCUAUAUCUACAAGAUCAUUUUGCAACUAGGUUAGUAAUACAACUCAUGAAUCGUUUCAUCAAUUUUACAUUAUAUAUUAAGGAAAUAUCUAGAAUUUAAGACGUAUGCACCAAGUUGGGGAAGGGGAGGACAGAACAUGUAGCUCAAGGGGACAGGGGCUUGCUGGACAAAUCCCAAUGCCAGACCCCAGCCUCGCGCCACAAGGUGCAGUUGUUGUGCUGAUUGUUUAUUUUCCAAAUUGGUCUGAAAUGUACUGCCUGUAAGCUGUUGUUGUGUUGAUUGUUUAUUUUCCAUCUUGCUUGUCUCUUUUGUUAAACAAUAUUAUAGUAUCUGAACUAUAAGUCUCGUCUCAUUUCUUCUGAUGCUUGUCUUUUAAGUCUUUUGAUUUUCAUAUGUGGAACUUGUUGUUUGUCUAAAAGAUAAUUAUGCCUUUAGCCUUCCUUGGUAAUGUUGCAAAUGAAAUGGCCUGCAAAACUAAAACACCAGUUAGCUAAAAAAUCUGCAGCGUUGUUGCCUUCUCUCUGUGUGCGCUGAAGCUGUAUG